rnacentral:rRNA from 1 species
AGUGAACGCUGGCGGUAGGCCUAACACAUGCAAGUCGAACGGCAGCACAGUAAGAGCUUGCUCUUACGGGUGGCGAGUGGCGGACGGGUGAGGAAUACAUCGGAAUCUACUUUUUUGUGGGGGAUAACGUAGGGAAACUUACGCUAAUACCGCAUACGACCUACGGGUGAAAGCAGGGGAUCUUCGGACCUUGCGCGAUUGAAUGAGCCGAUGUCGGAUUAGCUAGUUGGCGGGGUAAAGGCCCACCAAGGCGACGAUCCGUAGCUGGUCUGAGAGGAUGAUCAGCCACACUGGAACUGAGACACGGUCCAGACUCCUACGGGAGGCAGCAGUGGGGAAUAUUGGACAAUGGGCGCAAGCCUGAUCCAGCCAUACCGCGUGGGUGAAGAAGGCCUUCGGGUUGUAAAGCCCUUUUGUUGGGAAAGAAAAGCAGCAGGUUAAUACCCCGCUGUUCUGACGGUACCCAAAGAAUAAGCACCGGCUAGCUUCGUG